rnacentral:rRNA from 1 species
CAGUCGCCGCGGUAAUACGGAGGGAGCUAGCGUUGUUCGGAAUUACUGGGCGUAAAGCGCGCGUAGGCGGUUACUCAAGUCAGAGGUGAAAGCCCGGGGCUCAACCCCGGAACUGCCUUUGAAACUAGGUGACUAGAAUCUUGGAGAGGUCAGUGGAAUUCCGAGUGUAGAGGUGAAAUUUGUAGAUAUUCGGAAGAACACCAGUGGCGAAGGCGACUGACUGGACAAGUAUUGACGCUGAGGUGCGAAAGCGUGGGGAGCAAACAGGAUUAGAUACCCGCGUAGUCCCUGUCUCUUAUAC